rnacentral:tRNA from 2 species
CGGGGCUUAGCGCAGUCUGGUAGCGCAUCUGCUUUGGGAGCAGAGGGUCGCAAGUUCAAAUCUUGCAGCCCCGACCA